AGUGACAAUGAAGACUGAGGUGUCUGCUUUGCAGUUUUUUUUUUUCUUUUCUUGUCUUUUUUUUUUUUUUUCCUAAUCAUGUGGACAUCUCUGAGAAUGAGGGGACUGGGUGACUUUGCAGUGUCUGCUUUCUAAGUUUCAAAGUGACUUUCCAGGCAAGCUGCGCAUAUCUUGGGAUCUUCACAGCACAGUGGCUGGGAAGGCAGGCGGACCCGUCUAUCAGCUUCUCCCUGUUUGAAGGUCCGACUCAUCAUGGCAGGACUUGGCGUUGGGUCAGAUGCCCUGUGGCUGUGUCAUGUGGAAUGCGAGGCUGCCUGCUCAUAUCUCAGCAGAUCCAGAGGGGACAAAGAAGAAGGCCACACCCACACGACUUCAGGCGCGUCUCCAAGCAUGUACCACAGCACCCGAGUGUGGGCAGAAGCCCUCGUGCUGAGUGGGAUGAAGCUUUGAAGAGGCUGAGACCUAUGAGAACCGAAGAACCUUUGAAUCUCCCUUCAGCUCCCCUACCCCGACCACAGCCCUCCUCUUGAUGUAAAACAUGUGUUGAACUUGAGAACAAGGAGGCUGGCGUCUGUGCCAGGAAGACUGCGCUGCUUUAAGCUUCUUCGGGGGUUGGAAACAGAUCUACCUCUGAGGUUUGCAUAGCACUCUCCGUGGAAGUCACUAUGGCUGGUUGAGAUGUGGAUUUGUGAGACAGCACCUGAAGCAGUGUGCAUUCCUGUCACUCGACCUGUUGUGUUGGGGAGGAACGCCCAGCUUACCACCAGGAUUAUCUCUGGAGGCUGAAGGCAGAUGCCUGGACUCUCUUGAGAGCAUGUAAAUGUUAAACUGAAAUGUUCAGAAACCAAGAGAAGGAGCCUUCCAGAACAACUGUGUACCCGGAAUAUACACUCUGUAUAGCUGACGUAUUCAUCUACAGGAUAGACCAGAAAAUCUGUCUUCUAGGCUUCCUUCUGCCUCUUCACCAGCUCUGAGAGCCUGAAGAGUCAUGGGGCCUCUUAUCAAAGAAAUGUUGAAAAAUGACUAAGACCACCGCCUUUAAUCCCAGCAUUUAGGAGACAGAGGCAAGCAGCUCUCUGAGUUCCAGAACAGCCAGAAAUGCACAGAGAAAUUCUGCCUCAAAAAAGCCAAACAAA
rnacentral:lncRNA from 1 species